ensembl:snRNA U6 U6 spliceosomal RNA
GUGCUUGAUCAGCAGCACAUAUACUAAAAUUGGAAUCAUACAGAGAAGAGCAUGGCCUCUGUAUAAUGAUGUCACACAAAUUUGUGAAAUGUUCCAUAUUUUU